UACGUAGGGAGCGAGCGUUAUCCGGAUUUAUUGGGUUUAAAGGGUGCGCAGGCGGUCUGUUAAGUCAGCGGUCAAAGCCCGGGGCUCAACCCCGGCCCGCCGGUUGAAACUGGCAGUCUCGAGUUGGAGAGAAGUAUGCGGAAUGCGCGGUGUAGCGGUGAAAUGCAUAGAUAUCGCGCAGAACUCCGAUUGCGAAGGCAGCAUGCCGGCUCCACACUGACGCUGAGGCACGAAAGCGUGGGUA
rnacentral:rRNA from 1 species